UGGGGAAUAUUGCGCAAUGGACGAAAGUCUGACGCAGCGACGCCGCGUGUGGGAUGAAGCCUUUCGGGGCGUAAACCACUGUUGCCCGGGACGAACAUCCUCUUUCGAGGGGACUGACGGUACCGGGUGAGGAAGCACCUGCUAACUCCGUGCCAGCAGCCGCGGUAAUACGGAGGGAGCUAGCGUUGUUCGGAAUUACUGGGCGUAAAGCGCACGUAGGCGGCGAUUCAAGUCAGAGGUGAAAGCCCGGGGCUCAACCCCGGAACUGCCUUUGAAACUAGAUUGCUAGAAUCCUGGAGAGGUGAGUGGAAUUCCGAGUGUAGAGGUGAAAUUCGUAGAUAUUCGGAAGAACACCAGUGGCGAAGGCGACUCACUGGACAGGUAUUGACGCUGAGGUGCGAAAGCGUGGGGAGCAAA
rnacentral:rRNA from 1 species